rnacentral:SRP_RNA from 1 species
GUCGGGAGUGGUAGUGUAUUCUUGUAAUCCAACUACUCGGAGGCUAGGUAUAGAGGAUGUUUUAAUGGCGGGGAUUCUCGGAUUGGAUUUUCCACCUUGACUAGGCGUCCGUUAGGGGUAAACCUUGGAGAUGCCUUGGGGGAGGUCAAAAAAAGGGGAAAAAUCGGCCCGAAUAUCACCGAGUUGAAAUCUUGGGAGUGGAAGGUCAAUUUCAGCUCUUCCGAACAAAAACAAACCUGUACCUAA